AAGAAGCAGGCUCCCAGCGGAGGAGCCUGAUGUGGGGCUCGAUCCCACAACACCGGGAUCACGCCCUGAGCCGAAGGCAGACGCUUAACCACUGUGCCACCCAGGCGCCCCAUGACAACUUUAAUUUUGAGCGUGGAGUGGGAGCUAGACAGUGGCCAUUAGUUGGUCCUGAGCUCCAUACCACAGGGAAGGGGAUGUGGUAGAGAUAUAAAGGUGUGGGAAUCUUCUCGAGCGUGGUUUUCAGAAGUUUAAACCUCAAGGAACAGGGAGAAGUUUCUGAAGAAUGGCCAGAAACUGCAGGGAGGUGUGAUUUCUCAAGGACCAGAAAAAGAAAACUCUCCAUGAGAGGGUAAGAGGUGAUGAGAGCAGAGAGCCUAUGGCCUGCUGCCCAGGCAGAGCCCCCCAGAGCCUCAUAGAACCCCCACAGAACCCUGCAGGACCCUAGAGAGUGUCCAGUCUCCCGGAGAUGCUGCAGCAGGAAGACGUGGCCACAGCAACUCCCCAAAGGCCUGCACCUCCGUGUCAUCGCAGCAUCAGGGUUGUGGGACUUGAAGGGUUUCAUAGGCGGCACCCUGUGUGAGCAGAUGACACGGUCACCAGAGGGAACCCUGCCCCACAGCAACCUGGCACUGGUGAGACUCCAGAACUGGGGCUGAGCAGGAAGACUCCACUUGCCCUCCUCGUGUCUCCUUGACUCUCACACCAUGAGUGCACCCACAGCACUGCUGACGCCAGGUGUGGGCAGGUUUCCACAGCCAGCAAUUCUCUGAUGCCAGCUGGGUGUCCUACCAUUUAAUGCAGUCCUGACACCUGCUCCCUGGAGACAGCGUCCCAUCUCACACGGUAAGGGCUCGGUCGCACGAGACUGCCCCUACCUCAGAAAUAAGAUAAUAACUU
rnacentral:lncRNA from 1 species